UUUACGUAUUACGUACUACGUAGAGCGUUGUGUCUGAACACUCUUCCGUUCCCAGCUACGUAACUCGGAGCGUAAAAACGUUAUACGUAGUACGUAAAACGCUCAAAAAGGCUGUAGUCUGAACGUGGCUUAACGCACAAAACAUCUAUUACACCAGGACAAGUUUAAAACGUAUUGCUAGAUUACCUAACCGAUGCAUUAGCAGGUGAAAGGACGAAUUUACAAAAGACCCGGAAAGAUAGAGGCUUACAAUUCGAAAUAGAAGGCAUAACUUGUGAUAGCAAAUCAUUUGAAAUAUAGGUUUUUAAAUACUCAUCAAUAAAAUUUUCCAAUAGGGAGAAUGUUCUGAAUUACAAUGCACGCUAUCAGAGGAGUUGCUUCUGAACUCAGAAAGACUUCGUACUUUAACAAUCCUCCGUCGCGAUGAAAAGAAGUAUCAGGACAGAUUGCAGAAAAAUUCAUGGUUACUAGUGAGUCUUUUGAAUUUCUAUUUUACCUACGGCGAGAGGAAGUCAAGAAACGUUUAGGACACGAUCUGAACAAGAAAAAAGAAAUCAAAUUGAAGGACAUCAUAUUCCGCAACCUUUUUCCGAAGAGAAUCUGAAAGAGUACGGGAACGUGGCAGAACUCACAUCCGAAUUGCUAGGGAAGCUCAAGAUCUCAAACGCUACGUAGAAGAACAAAGGGAGACUAUUGUUCAAUUGAAAAAAGACAUCAGUCGCCUGAAAAAGAAGUGUGGUAGGCAAAAUCACACUUCAUCCCAGCACUAUCGAGUUGGCUAGCUACGUAUCCCUGGCAAUACGUUUGGAAAAUGACGAAUCCCUGUGACGAAUCCCUGUUUAAAUAUCAAUUUCCUUGUCUUUUGAGAUUUAGUGCUUCUUCGAUGCAAUUUGGCAAUUUCUGAAAGGCAAAAUUAGAGGAAUGAAAAGGAAAAAAAUAAAAUUUCAAAUGAUCCCAUGCCGCAGCCUAUUCUCACUAAGAAAGUAAUAAACACAAUGGUGGGCUA
rnacentral:misc_RNA from 1 species